GGGGAUAUAGCUCAAUUGGUAGAGUGCUUGCCUUGCAUGCACAAGGCCCUGGGUUCAAUCCCCAGCACCA
rnacentral:tRNA from 1 species